CCUACGGGAGGCAGCAGUGGGGAAUUUUGGACAAUGGGCGCAAGCCUGAUCCAGCCAUGCCGCGUGAGUGAAGAAGGCCUUCGGGUUGUAAAGCUCUUUCGGUGGGGAAGAAAUUGCAUGGGUUAAUACCCUGUGUAGAUGACGGUACCUGGAGAAGAAGCACCGGCUAACUACGUGCCAGCAGCCGCGGUAAU
rnacentral:rRNA from 1 species